rnacentral:rRNA from 1 species
GGGCAGGUGAACCCUAUCGGGUAAAGCAAUUAUAAAGUCAUUAAAGUUUGGUAAAAAGCAGAAAACUAAAAGGUGAAAUCUAGUGGUUUGAUACUUGUUAUUUAGGGAACUAAAGAAGUAUUGAAGUUGUGAAAGUCAGGGGUGAAACCGGGAUUAGAUACCCCGUUAUUCUUGGAUCUAAUUUUUAUACUUGAGUAGUAAACAGCUAUAAUCUCGAAACUCAAAGAAUUUGGCGGUAUUUAAGUCUCGUUAGAGGAACCUGUGCUGUAAACGAUAAACCACGAAAAUCUUACCUGAUCUUGUAGUUACAGUUUGUAUACCGCCAUUAUUAGAUAAGUUCGCUAGAAAAUUAUCGGGAUGGAAUUAAUUCAAUUAUAUUAGGUCAAGGUGCAGCUUAUGAUAAGGAAGUCAUGGGUUACAAUAUUUUUGAACUUAUGACGGAUAUGACCCCGGUUGGGAGAUCAUUGAAGGAGGAUUUAAUUGUAAUUUUAGAUUAUUUUUCUAAAAUGAUAAAAGCUCUUAAAUAUGUACACAUCGCCCGUCGCUCUCGCUUU